rnacentral:rRNA from 1 species
UGGGGAAUUUUGGACAAUGGGCGAAAGCCUGAUCCAGCAAUGCCGCGUGUGUGAAGAAGGCCUUCGGGUUGUAAAGCACUUUUGUCCGGAAAGAAAUCCUUGGCUCUAAUACAGUCGGGGGAUGACGGUACCGGAAGAAUAAGCACCGGCUAACUACGUGCCAGCAGCCGCGGUAAUACGUAGGGUGCAAGCGUUAAUCGGAAUUACUGGGCGUAAAGCGUGCGCAGGCGGUUUGCUAAGACCGAUGUGAAAUCCCCGGGCUCAACCUGGGAACUGCAUUGGUGACUGGCAGGCUAGAGUAUGGCAGAGGGGGGUAGAAUUCCACGUGUAGCAGUGAAAUGCGUAGAGAUGUGGAGGAAUACCGAUGGCGAAGGCAGCCCCCUGGGCCAAUACUGACGCUCAUGCACGAAAGCGUGGGGGAGCAAACAGGAUUAGAUACCCUGGUAGUCCACGCCCUAAACGAUGCCAACUAGUUGUUGGGGAUUCAUUUCCUUAGUAACGUAGCUAACGCGUGAAGUUGACCGCCUGGGGAGUACGGUCGCAAGAUUAAAACUCAAAUGAAUUGACGGGGUCAUA